GCCAGACUCCUACGGGAGGCAGCAGUGGGGAAUAUUGCACAAUGGGGGGAACCCUGAUGCAGCGACGCCGCGUGAGUGAAGAAGUAUUUCGGUAUGUAAAGCUCUGUCAGCAGGGAAGAAGAAAGACGGUACCUGACCAAGAAGCCCCGGCUAACUACGUGCCAGCAGCCGCGGUAAUACGUAGGGGGCAAGCGUUAUCCGGAUUUACUGGGUGUGAAGGGAGCGUAGACGGCAGGGCAAGUCUGGAGUGAAAGGCAGGGGCCCAACCCCUGGACUGCUCUGGAAACUGUCCGGCUGGAGUGCAGGAGAGGUAAGUGGAAUUCCUAGUGUAGCGGUGAAAUGCGUAGAUAUUAGGAGGAACACCAGUGGCGAAGGCGGCUUACUGGACUGUAACUGACGUUGAGGCUCGAAAGCGUGGGGAGCAAACAGGAUUAGAUACCCUUGUA
rnacentral:rRNA from 1 species